rnacentral:lncRNA from 1 species
GUCUUUCUUUCUUUCUGUCAUUCUUUCUUUCUUUCUGUCUUUGUCUUUCUGUCUUUCUUUGUUUCUGUCUUUCGGUCUGUCUUUCUUUCUGUCUGUCCUUCUUUCUGUCUUUCUGUCUGUCUUUCUGUCCGUCUGUCUGUCUUUGUCUUUCUGUCUGUCUUUCUGUCUUUCCUUCUGUUUUUCUGUCUGUCUUUCUGUCUGUAUUUCUGUCUUUCUUUCUGUCGUUCUUUCUGUCUGUCUGUCUGUCCGUCUUUCUGUCUGUCUUUGUCUUUCUGUCUGUCUUUCUGUCUUUCUGUUUCUUUCUUUCUGUCUCUCUGUCUGUCUUUCUUUCUGUCUGUCUUUCUGUCUCUGUCUUUCUAUCUUUCUGUCUUUCUUUGUGUCUGUCUUUGUCUUUCUCUCUUUCUUUCUGUCUGUUUUUCCGUCUUUCUUUCUGUCUUUCUGUCGUUCUUUCUUUCUGUCUGUCUUUCUGUCUUUCUUUCUGUCUGUUCGUCUUUCUGUCUGUCUUUGUCUUUCUGUCUGUCUUUCUUUCUGUCUGUCUUUCUGUCUGUCUGUCUUUCUGUCUUUCUUUCUGUCUGUCGUUCCUUCUUUCUGUCGUUCUUUCUGUCUGUCUCUUUGUCUUUCUGUCGUUCUUUCUUUCUGACUUUCUUUCAUUCUGUCUUUCUGUCUUUCUUUCUGUCUGUCUUUCUGUCUGUCUUUCUGUCCGUCUGGCUGUCUGUCUUUCUGCCUGUCUUUCUUUCUGUCUGUCUUUCUGUCCGUCUGUCUGUCUUUCUGUCUUCCUUUCUGUCUUUCUGUCCUUCUGUCUGUCUUUCUGUCCGUCUGUCUUUCUGUCCGUCCGUCUGUCUUUCUGUGUGUCUGUCUUUCUUUCUGUCUGUCUUUCUUUCUGUGUGCCUUUCUGUCUGUCUUUCUGUCUUUCUGUAUUUCUUUCUGUCUCUCUGUCUUUCUGUCUUUGUCUUUCUGUCGUUCUUUCUUUCUUUCUGUGUUUCUGUCUUUCCGUCUGUCUUUCUUUUUUUCUUUCUUUCUGUCUUUCUUUCUGUCUGUCUGUUUUUCUUUCUGUCUUUCUGUCUGUCUGCAUUUCUUUCUGUCAUUCUUUCUUUGUCUUUCUUUCUGUCUGUCUUUCUGUCUUUCUUUCUUUCUUUCUGUCUGUCCUUCUUUCUGUCUUUCUAUCUCUCUGUCUUUCUCUCUGUCUGUCUUUCUGUCGUUCUUUCUUUCUUUCUGUCUGCCUGUCUUUCUGUCUGUCUGUCUUUCUGUCUGCGUUUCUGUCUUUCUGUCGCUCUUUCUUGCUGUCUUUCUGUUGUUCUUUCUUUCUGUCUUUCUGUCUGUCUGUCUUUCUGUCUGUCCUUCUUUCUGUCUGUCUUUCUGUCUGUCUUUCCGUCUUUCUUUCUGUCUGUCUUUCUUUCUGUCUGUCUUUGUCUGUCUGUCUUUCUUUCUGUCGUUCUUUCCGUCUUUCC